rnacentral:rRNA from 1 species
GCUGGCGACCGGCGCACGGGUGAGUAACACGUAUCCAACCUGCCCUUUACUCGGGGAUAGCCUUUCGAAAGAAAGAUUAAUACCCGAUAGUAUAAUGAUUCCGCAUGGUUUCAUUAUUAAAGGAUUCCGGUAAAGGAUGGGGAUGCGUUCCAUUAGGUUGUUGGUGAGGUAACGGCCCACCAAGCCUUCGAUGGAUAGGGGUUCUGAGAGGAAGGUCCCCCCACAUUGGAACUGAGACACGGUCCAAACUCCUACGGGAGGCAGCAUG